CCCACUCUCCAGAAACCUUCAAGGAACAGCCCUAGGGCAGCAAAUGGUCACCCACAAGCUCCUGGUUGACACUUGGGUAGAUGCAUAGAGCUGCAUUCAGGCAAGAAACCGGAGCUGAGGAGACCAGGCAAUGUCUGCUGUGUGGUUAGCACAGCGAUCACAGCCACACGCCGCGGACGGAAGCCAGCCCGCAGAGCUGCCCCUCCCCCAGUCCUUUCCUGGGAAUCCAGUGUGGUCAGCAGAGCCUUUGGAAACUGGAAUGGUUUGGAGAGGAGCUGGAGUUGCUUGCUUGGAUCGUUGCCAGUGCGGGAGCCUGGAAGCUCUGAUGGCUGUCCCGGUCACCGAGGUCUGGCCGCCGAC